AACCGACUUACGUUGAAAAGUGAGCGGAUGAACUGAGGGUAGCGGAGAAAUUCCAAUCGAACCUGGAGAUAGCUGGUUCUCUCCGAAAUAGCUUUAGGGCUAGCCUCAAGUGAUGAUUAUUGGAGGUAGAGCACUGUUUGGACGAGGGGCCCCUCUCGGGUUACCGAAUUCAGACAAACUCCGAAUGCCAAUUAAUUUAACUUGGGAGUCAGAACAUGGGUGAUAAGGUCCGUGUUCGAAAGGGAAACAGCCCAGACCACCAGCUAAGGUCCCAAAAUAUAUGUUAAGUGGAAAAGGAUGUGGCGUUGCCCAGACAACUAGGAUGUUGGCUUAGAAGCAGCCAUCAUUUAAAGAGUGCGUAAUAGCUCACUAGUCGAGUGACACUGCGCCGAAAAUGUACCGGGGCUAAACAUAUUACCGAAGCUGUGGAUUGUCCUUUGGACAAUGGUAGGAGAGCGUUCUAAGGGCGUUGAAGCAUGAUCGUAAGGACAUGUGGAGCGCUUAGAAGUGAGAAUGCCGGUGUGAGUAGCGAAAGACGGGUGAGAAUCCCGUCCACCGAUUGACUAAGGUUUCCAGAGGAAGGCUCGUCCGCUCUGGGUUAGUCGGGUCCUAAGCUGAGGCCGACAGGCGUAGGCGAUGGAUAACAGGUUGAUAUUCCUGUACCACCUAUA
rnacentral:rRNA from 1 species